rnacentral:rRNA from 1 species
UCACAUGACCAAAUUAUCCAGAAUGCACCUGAUCUUUUAAGGCCUCAGAAGUUAAGCAUGUUUGAGCCUGGAUAGUGCUUGGAUGAGCGACCACUAUGCGAAAACAGGUGUUAUAGGUA